rnacentral:piRNA from 1 species
UGGAGUCCUAGAAACUCUCUAGUCCCUGCGG